rnacentral:lncRNA from 1 species
AUUCUUUUGAAACAUGUUCUCAUUUUCUUAUCCAUGCCAGACUGCAGUGGCACCAUCAUAGCUCACCGUAACAUGGAACUACUGGGCUCAAGUGAUCCUCCUACUUCAGCUUCUUGAGCAACUGGGACUACAGAUUGCCGGUUUAAUAGGGCAUCCAGACCAGUGCACCUUGUGCAGAGUGCCGCUGCGCUGCGCCGGCUGCAACGGCAGUGCCGGCCAGCCGGCCAAAACAACCGCGGCGGUGCUCCGUGUCUCUCCUCCACCUGGGAAUCCCCUCGUUCUGUGGGCAACAAAGAUUCGUCUGAAAAUGCGGCUUGAACUCACCCUCUGAGCCUUCACUGAGAUCCGCAACCGCGAGCCACUGCAACCCCGAGCUGUUCCUUCCCUUCCAUCUUGAAGACCGAGAUCGGGUGUAGUCUUCUAUAAGUGUUAAGUAGGUCAGAAUUUCUAAAUUUUAUUUUUAAUCUUCAGUAUCCUUUCUUAAUUUUUUCUCUGAUUUUGUUAGUGCCUUAUCAGUGACUGAGAAGAGUGUGCCAAGAUUCCCUUAAUGACAGAAUAUUUGUAUUUUACUCUUUUUAUCGUUGUCAAUAUUUGUGAUACAUGUUUUUAGUCUAUGUUAUUAAAGGAAAAACGUAGUUCUAUAUAAUUCAAGAAGUUGAUGCUUUUAAAAUAACAAAGCAUCCCUCUUUCUAUCAACUUUCUCCUUAAACAUCAU